CAGCAGCCGCGGUAAAACGAAGGGUGCAAGCGUUACUCGGAAUUACUGGGCGUAAAGCGUGCGUAGGUGGUGGUUUAAGUCCGUUGUGAAAGCCCUGGGCUCAACCUGGGAAUUGCAGUGGAUACUGGGUCACUAGAGUGUGGUAGAGGAUAGUGGAAUUUCCGGUGUAGCAGUGAAAUGCGUAGAGAUCGGAAGGAACAUCUGUGGCGAAGGCGACUAUCUGGGCCAACACUGACACUGAGGCACGAAAGCGUGGGGAGCAAACAGGAUUAGAUACCCCGGUAGUCCCUGUCUCUUAUAC
rnacentral:rRNA from 1 species